UUUAGCUUCUGUAUAAUGNCCAAGAGGCAGCUAAAGAAGUGAUGGAACANCACACUGUUGAAGCUAAGCAGGGUCAGGCUGGGUCUGUGCUUGGAUGGAAACCACAUAGGAAUACCAGGUGGUAGACUAAGA
rnacentral:rRNA from 1 species